CCCCUAGAUGUUCUGGGCCGCACGCGCGCUACACUGAACAGUUCAACAAGUCUUAACCUUGGCCGAUAGGUCUGGGUAAUCUUUGAACGCUGUUCGUGAUUGGGAUAGACCUUUGCAAUUAUGGGUCUUCAACGAGGAAUUCCUAGUAAACGCAAGUCAUCAGCUUGCAUUGAUUACGUCCCUGCCCUUUGUACACACCGCCCGUCGCACCUACCGAUUGAGUGAUCCGGUGAAUAAUUCGGACUGCAGCACUGCUUGGUCUCCAGGCUUUGCAGCGGAAAGUUUAGUGAACCUUAUCACUUAGAGGAAGGAGAANUCGUAACA
rnacentral:rRNA from 1 species